CUUGGAUAAAAAAGCCGAAGAAGGACGUGAAAGACUGCGAAAAGUCACGAUGAGGAGUCAGUAGCCGUUAUAGUCGUGAAUAUCCGAAUGGGGGAACCUAUCUUGUAUAACAAGAUAUUUUAUACUUAAGGUAUAGAAUGGGAACCAGGGGAAGUGAAAUAUCUCAGUACCCUGAGGAAAAGAAAUCGUAAGAGAUUCUCUUAGUAGUGACGAGCGAACGGGGAAUAGUCUAAACUGAUAUAGUGUUAAAGAGCCUAAUCGUUGCUAUAUUGGUGUUGAGGGAGUAAACUAUAGAUUUUAGGUAGAUCUGUAUAUUAUAUAUAAUGCUAGAUGAAAUAGGUGGGAAACUAUACUAUAGAAGGUGAAAGUCCUGUAGUUUAAAGUAUUAUGUGUUUAUAUGUUUAUUUCCCAAGUAGUGUCAAACACGAGAAAUUUGGCAUGAAUCUGUGCAGACCACUGUAUAAGACUAAAUACUUUUUUAUACCGAUAGUGAAUAGUACCGUGAGGGAAAGGUGAAAAGAACCUCUGAAAGAGGAGUGAAAUAGAUUUUGAAAUCCUAAGCUUACAAGGGAGUAGGAGCUUUAAAUAAAGUGACUGCGUACCUAUUGACGAAUGGGCCAGCGAGUCAAUAGCAUGAGCAAGGUUAAGACAGUGAUAGUUGGAGCCGUAGGGAAACCGAGUCUGAAUAGGGCGAAAUAGUUUAUGUUAUUGGACCCGAAGCCGUAUGAGCUAUCCAUGAGCAGGAUGAAGCUCGAUGAGAGUCGAGUGGAGGUCCGAACCGUUUGGAGCUGCAAAUCCUUCGGAUGACUUGUGGAUAGGAGUGAAAAGCUCAUCGAAUACGGUGAUAGCUGGUUCUCCCCGAAACAACUUUAGGGUUGGCCUGCAAAUUAGAUUUGGUAGAGGUAGAGCACUGAUAAGGCUAGGGGUAUCGAGAGAUAUUACCAAACCUUGUUAAACUUCGAAUGCUAUCAAUAAUUUUGUGGAGUUAGGCUAUGUGGGAUAAGCUUCAUAGCCAAGAGGGAAACAGCCCAGACUUCCAACUAAGGUCCCAAAAUAAUAGCUAAGUGGAAAAGGAUGUUUUCUUGCUGAGACAUUCAGGAGGUUUGCUUAGAAGCAGCAAUCCUUUAAAGAGUGCGUAAUAGCUCACUGAACAAGUGGGAAAGCGCCGAAGACGUAACGGGGCUAAAGCUAUUUACCGAAGUUGAAGAAUUAUGAUAAGAUUGUAAUUGGUAGGGGAGCGUUCUAUAUUGGUAGAAGUUGUGGUGUAAGCCUAUAUGGACGAUAUAGAAGUGAAAAUGCUGGCAUGAGUAACGCCGUAUGGUUAAAAUCCAUACCGCCGGAAGCCUAAGGAUUCCUUUUCAACGUUCAUCGAAAAAGGGUUAGUCGAGACCUAAGGUAAUCCCGAGAGGGUGUUCCGAUGGAAGACAGGUUAAUAUUCCUGUACCUAUUUAAUCUUAUGUUUUGUGGUAACAUAUUGGGAUGUGUAAAAGCUUUAUAAGGAUAUAUAGAGUUUAAGUAUUGAGACAAAAUUAGCUUAGCUAAUUUGUUUGUGAUAGGAAAAUCCGUUGCAGAAUUAAGUUGAGAUAUGAUAACAACUAUGUAGAGAUAUGUGGGAGUUUUAUAGUUCUGGUAUCAAGAAAAACCACUAAACAUAAGAUUAAAUAGCUCGUACCGAGAACCGACACAGGUAGGCAGGUAGAGAAUACUAAGGCGAUCGAGACAACUAGAUAUAAGGAACUCGGCAAAAAAGCGGACGUAACUUCGGGAUAAGUCCUGCCUAUUGUGAAAUAACAUAGUAGGCCGCAGCGAAUGACAUGGGGGGGACUGUUUACCAAAAACACAGCUUCCUGCUAACUCGAAAGAGGAUGUAUAGGAGGUGAUGCCUGUCCAGUGCCAGAAUGUUAAGCUCUUUGGUGAAAGCUAAGGUGUGAAGCACUGGUAAACGACGGCCGUAACUAUGACGGUCCUAAGGUAGCGAAAUUCCUUGUCGGGUAAGUUCCGACCCGCAUGAAUGGCACAACCAUCCCCAUACUGUCUUGUAUCUAGACUCGGUGAAAUUACAAUCCCGGUAAAAAUGCCGGGUAGAUGUGGUAAGACGGAGAGACCCCGUGAAGCUUUACUGUAGGUUGGUAUUGUGUUGAGAUAUAUAUUAUUCAGAAUAGUUGGGAGACUAGGAAGGUAUAGCGCUAGUUGUACUGGAGUCAACUUUGAGAUACCAUCUUUUAUAUAUUUUGACACUAACUUCACGAAGUGAAGGACAGUGCCUGCUGGACAGUUUACCUGGGGCGGGUGCCUCCUAAAGAGUAACGGAGGCGUACAAAGGUUAGCUUACUACGGAUGGAAACCGUGGAAGAAGUAUAUUCGCAAAAGCUAGCUUAACUGUGAGACUGACAGGUCGAACAGGUAGGAAACUAGGUGAAAGUGAUCCGGACUUUCUGUGUGGAAAGAAGUCCGCUCAACGGAUAAAAGCUACUCCGGGGAUAACAGGCUAAUAGGAUCCAAGAGUUCACAUCGACGAUCCUGUUUGGCACCUCGAUGUCGGCUCGUCACAUCCUGGGGCUGUAUUAGGUCCCAAGGGUUGGGCUGUUCGCCCAUUAAAGUGGUACGCGAGCUGGGUUCAGAACGUCGUGAGACAGUUCGGUCCCUAUCUACCAUAUCCGCAGGUAACUUGAGGAGAUCUGUUCCUAGUACGAGAGGACCGGGAUGGACUAGCCUCUGGUGUUUCGGUUGUUCAACCAUGAGCAGAGCCGAGUAGCUAUGCUGGGAAAGGAUAACUGCUGAAAGCAUAUAAGCAGGAAGCCAACUCCAAGAUUAGGUUGCCCAGUUGAUUGUUUGCUUGCAAACGAUCAAAAUAAGGUCCCCUGUAGACUACGGGGUUGAUAGG
rnacentral:rRNA from 1 species